CCAAGCCUCCCAAAAAUGGAGGACAAUAUUAAAGUCUCAGAGAAUUCGUACAUUCCCCUAUCCUUUACUGAGGAUCUCGCUGAGUACUGAGCAAGAAACAUAAGAAGACCUCUUCUAGCACUAUUAGAGACUCCUAUCAAUCAGUCCAAGUAAGUAAAAUCUUUUAAAUAGCUCCCAUUCUCCAGUAUGUACAGUUUGUAUUGACAGUGCCAUUAAAAACAAGCAUAUAAGUGUAAAAAUAUUCCUAUGAAAUUUUUUACCACCUUGCAUGUACAGCUGGAUUCUCAUUAAGACUUAUUAAGACUAGUCUCGUGGGCCGACUCCCUGGUUGGGGGAUGAGAGGAGUCUGGCAUGCAUCUCAACUUCCGCUUGUUCUCAAGGCCAGUAUAGGCCGGGACAAUUACGUAAUGAAAAUGGCGCACCAUGCACCUCAAUGAAAAAGCUCUUAUACAUGAUGCUGCCUUAUCCUGUUGCUAUCCAUUAUUAAAAGAUCAACAGAAGGUUUGAGAAGAGUGCCUGUUUGUCAUUUUUCCCAAAUUGAUUCACUGAGGAAGGGAACUCCUGGUCACAGCAUUGUAAUAGUAAUUUUUCCAUUAAACAGUUUAAUGAAAGAUCAAGUGAGAAGUUGUCAGGAACGAGGUGUAGCAGCAGCAGCAGCAGUCACAUGUGAUGACAAGUCCAGUGAGAAGGAGGCAAUGAAGGGAGUCUACAUCAGUCCAGAAAUGAUAUUGGGUACGAAGAAAUGGCGUUCUGUUCUGGACACCAAUCUGUAUCAGUCAAGGCUAGUUGGAUUAGUAAUUGACGAAGCGCACUGUGUAAAAACUUGGGGUGAUUUCCAUCAAGUGUUUAAGAGUUGGGCCAUUUAAGGGUAUUGAUCCCCACAGGUAUCAACAUGAUGGUACUAACACCGACUGCCACAACAAGAUCUAUACUAGAAAUAUGUCUUCGACUAGGCAUGGAAGAUCCUCAUGUUGUUUAAUUAUUGCCUGACAAACCAAACAUAUUCCUGUCAUGCAAUGAGUUUGACUCCAUCGAAGGAAGCAUCAUUUGGAUUGUUAGCCAAGUGAUUGAUAAAUGAGAGGACGAAGAUGGGAAGAGUUAUCAUAUUUUGUAAAAAAAAUAGUUCUGUGUAGUCAGAUCUAUUUGUAUUUAUUAUGUUAUGUGAAGGUUUUAUGGAACCAAGAGGUGUUUUAGUUGCUAGUGUUGAGUCUUGUCUUGUGGACAUGUUUACAUCUGGGAUGCAUCUGGAAGUGAAGGAAAUGAUUUUGGAGUCCUUUUAGUAACAGAGAUAUCUGCAGUGAACUUUGGUGCUUGUGGAUUAAGAUCAGAUGAAGCAAGCAGUGCAAAGUACUAGAUUUGUUGAUACCACUUCUGUCUCAUCACCACCAUCACGCCUGAUUGGGGAAAGGGCUGCACUUGUUGACAGUGAGGACAGUGAUGUAACUGUUCCUCCACAUGGUCUAGUAAUUGUUGCUCCUCGAUGCAAUCUUCCAUUCUCUCGUCAUCCUCCUAAUCGUCUUGGUUAUUAUGUCACUACUUCAGACUGGGACAGUCUUCAUCUGGAGGGGGAGCUGUGUAAUGAGUAUUAAUCACUGGUACUGUAAUACUAUUGGAUUGUAAACAUUACUGUAUUGUUGUUAUUAUCAUUAUGCUUUAUGGUUUCAUGUAUGUAUGUUGUUUUGCACAUGCUCAGUUGUGUAGUGAGCAUGUGAUUCUGGUUUUCUAUGAUUGUCACUCUCUCUUUUAUCAACUUUGUUUUUGAAAAACAUUACUACAGUG
rnacentral:lncRNA from 1 species